rnacentral:rRNA from 1 species
AUUGAACGCUGGCGGCAGGCCUAACACAUGCAAGUCGAGCGGAUGAAGGGAGCUUGCUCCUGGAUUCAGCGGCGGACGGUGAAGUAUUGCUUAGAAAUUGGCCGGGUAUGGGGGAAUAACUCCCGAAAAGGGGGCCUAUUACGCAUUAGGCCCGAGGGAGCAAAUUGGGGUAUCUUGGCACUUACCGCUAUCAGAUAAGCCUAGGUCGGAUUAGCUAGUGGGUGGGUUAAAGGCCUACCAAGCCGACGAUCCGUAACUGGUCUGAGAGGAUGAUCAGUCACACUGGAACUGAGACACGGUCCAGACUCCUACGGGAGGCAGCAGUGGGGAAUAUUGGACAAUGGGCGAAAGCCUGAUCCAGCCAUGCCGCGUGUGUGAAGAAGGUCUUCGGAUUGUAAAGCACUUUAAGUUGGGAGGAAGGGCAGUAAGUUAAUACCUUGCUGUUUUGACGUUACCAACAGAAUAAGCACCGGCUAACUUCGUG